rnacentral:rRNA from 1 species
GACGAACGCUGGCGGCGUGCUUAACACAUGCAUGUCGAACGAAGUGGCGCACGGGUGAGUAACGCGUAAUCAAUCUGCCCUUCAGAGGGGGACAACAGUUGGAAACGACUGCUAAUACCGCAUACUGAAGGAGGGCAUUGCGUCUGAUUAGCUAGUGGGAGGGGUAACGGCCCACCAAGGCGAUGAUCAGUAUCCGGUCUAGGAGGAUGACGGGCCACAUUGGGACUGAGACACGGCCCAGACUCCUACGGGAGGCAGCAGUGGUGAAUCUUCCGAAAUGGACGAGAGUCUGACGGAGCAACGUCGCGUGAGUGAUGACGGCCUUCGGGUUGUAAAGCUCUGUUAAGCGGGACGCGGUACCGGAAUAGAAAGCCACGGGUAACUACGUGCCAGCAGCCGCGGUAAUAC